UACGUAGGGGGCAAGCGUUGUCCGGAAUCAUUGGGCGUAAAGGGCGCGUAGGUGGCCCCUCAAGCGUGCGGUGAAAGUCAGGGGCUCAACCCCUGAUCGGCCGUGCGAACUGGGGAGCUUGAGCACUGUAGAGGCAGGCGGAAUUCCGGGUGUAGCGGUGGAAUGCGUAGAGAUCCGGAAGAACACCGGUGGCGAAGGCGGCCUGCUGGGCAGUUUUGCUGACACUGAGGCGCGACAGCGUGGGGAGCAAACAGG
rnacentral:rRNA from 1 species